rfam:Deltaproteobacteria bacterium CG2_30_63_29 cg2_3.0_scaffold_1655_c, whole genome shotgun sequence.
AAGAGCCGGAUGUGAAAAGCACAAGUCCGGUUCUGUGAGAGCUGGGGACGGGUAACCGUCCCUGGCUACUCGAC